rnacentral:snRNA from 13 species
AUUAAUUUUCUAAAAAUCUGUUCUUAUCAGUUUAAUAUCUGAUACGUCCCCCAUCGGGGGACUACAUAUUAAAUGGAUUUUUCGAACAGGGAGUCGGAAAUGGGGCUUGCUCCGUCCGCUCCACGCAUCGACCCGGUAUUGCAGUACCUCCGGGAACGGUGCAACACUU